rnacentral:rRNA from 1 species
AGUGAACGCUGGCGGUAGGCCUAACACAUGCGAGUCGAGCGGCAGCACAGUAAGAGCUUGCUCUUACGGGUGGCGAGUGGCGGACGGGUGAGGAAUACAUCGGAAUCUACUUUUUCGUGGGGGAUAACGUAGGGAAACUUACGCUAAUACCGCAUACGACCUACGGGUGAAGGCAGGGGAUCUUCGGACCUUGCGCGAUUGAAUGAGCCGAUGUCGGAUUAGCUAGUUGGCGGGGUAAAGGCCCACCAAGGCGACGAUCCGUAGCUGGUCUGAGAGGAUGAUCAGCCACACUGGAACUGAGACACGGUCCAGACUCCUACGGGAGGCAGCAGUGGGGAAUAUUGGACAAUGGGCGCAAGCCUGAUCCAGCCAUACCGCGUGGGUGAAGAAGGCCUUCGGGUUGUAAAGCCCUUUUGUUGGGAAAGAAAAGCAGCAGGUUAAUACCCCGCUGUUCUGACGGUACCCAAAGAAUAAGCACCGGCUAACUUCGUG